GUUGGUGAGGUAACGGCUCACCAAGGCUGCGAUCCGUAGCUGGUCUGAGAGGAUGAUCAGCCACAUCGGGAGUGAGACACGGCCCGAACUCCUACGGGAGGCAGCAGUGGGGAAUAUUGGACAAUGGGCGAAAGCCUGAUCCAGCCAUGCCGCGUGUGUGAAGAAGGCCUUCGGGUUGUAAAGCACUUUCAGUGAGGAAGAAAGCCUUGAGGUUAAUACCCUCGAGGGAGGACAUCACUCACAGAAGAAGCACCGGCUAACUCCGUGCCAGCAGCCGCGGUAAUACGGAGGGUGCGAGCGUUAAUCGGAAUUACUGGGCGUAAAGCGCGCGUAGGCGGCUUGAUAAGCCGGUUGUGAAAGCCCCGGGCUCAACCUGGGAACAGCAUCCGGAACUGUCAGGCUAGAGUGCAGGAGAGGAAGGUAGAAUUCCCGGUGUAGCGGUGAAAUGCGUAGAGAUCGGGAGGAAUACCAGUGGCGAAGGCGGCCUUCUGGACUGACACUGACGCUGAGGUGCGAAAGCGUGGGUAGCAAACAGGAUUAGAUACCCUGGUAGUCCACGCCGUAAACGAUGUCGACUAGCCGUUGGGCUCCUUGAGAGCUUUGUGGCGCAGUUAACGCGAUAAGUCGACCGCCUGGGGAGUACGGCCGCAAGGUUAAAACUCAAAUGAAUUGACGGGGGCCCGCACAAGCGGUGGAGCAUGUGGUUUAAUUCGAUGCAACGCGAAGAACCUUACCUACCCU
rnacentral:rRNA from 1 species